UACGUAGGGUGCAAGCGUUGUUCGGAGUUACUGGGCGUAAAGGGGGUGUAGGCGGCUUCGUAAGUUCGGUGUGAAAUCUCCUGGCUUAACUGGGAGGGUGCGCCGAAAACUGCGGAGCUGGAGCGCAGGAGAGGAAAGCAGAAUUCCUGGUGUAGCGGUGAAAUGCGUAGAUAUCUGGAGGAACACCGGUGGCGAAGGCGGCAUCCUGGACCAAUACUGACGCUGAGGAGCGAAAGCUAGGGGAGCAAACGGG
rnacentral:rRNA from 1 species